UACAGAGGAUGCAAGCGUUAUCCGGAAUGAUUGGGCGUAAAGCGUCUGUAGGUGGCUUUUUAAGCCCGCCGUCAAAUCCCAGGGCUCAACUCUGGACAGGCGGUGGAUACGGGCAUCACUAGAGUUCGGCAGGGGAGACUGGAAUUCCUGGUGUAGCGGUGAAAUGCGCAGAUAUCAGGAGGAACACCGGUGGCGAAGGCGGGUCUCUGGGCCGAUACUGACGCUGAGGAGCGAAAGCAUGGGUAGCGAACAGG
rnacentral:rRNA from 1 species